rnacentral:rRNA from 1 species
AACGAACGCUGGCGGCAUGCCUAACACAUGCAAGUCGAACGAGACCUUCGGGUCUAGUGGCGCACGGGUGCGUAACGCGUGGGAACCUGCCCUUAGGUUCGGAAUAACUCCCCGAAAGGGGUGCUAAUACCGGAUAAUGUCUUCUGACCAAAGAUUUAUCGCCUUUGGAUGGGCCCGCGUUGGAUUAGCUUGUUGGUAGGGUAAUAGCCUACCAAGGCGACGAUCCAUAGCUGGUCUGAGAGGAUGAUCAGCCACACUGGGACUGAGACACGGCCGAGACUCCUACGGGAGGCAGCAGUGGGGAAUAUUGGACAAUGGGCGAAAGGAUGAUCCAGCAAUGACGCGUGAGUGAUGAAGGCAGUAGGGUUGUAAAGCGCUUUUAACCGGGAUGAUAAUGACAGUACCGGGAGAAUAAGCCCCGGCUAACUCCGUG